AUUGAACGCUGGCGGCAGGCCUAACACAUGCAAGUCGAGCGCGCGGCGGACGGGUGAGUAAUGUAUGGGGACUGACCGAUAGCGGGGGAUAACUAACGGACACGGUGGCUAAUCCCGCAUACUCUCGGAUAACCCAUAUGGGGUUAGCUAGUAGGUGGGGUAAAGGCUCACCUAGGCGACGAUCUCUAGCUGGUAUGAGAGGAGUAUCAGCCACACGGGAACGGAGACACGGUCCAGCAGCCUACGGAGGCAGCAGUGGGGAAUAAUGCACAAUGGGCGCAAGCCUGAUGCAGCCAUGCCGCUUGUAUGAAGAAGGGCUUCGGGUUGUAAAGUACUUGAAGCGAGUAGGCGUGACUCGAAGAAGAAGCACCGGCUAACUCCGUGCCAGCCGCCGCGGUAAUAA
rnacentral:rRNA from 1 species